CGAAAUUGAAGAUAAAAGGGGAACGAGAUUGGAGGAGAACACAGUCUGUAAUAGACCCUCAGAAUAUCAAGUUCAUUCGGAGUACAGAAAAUCCACACAUUCAAAAUGAACAAGCUGUUUUUGGUGCUUUUGGCCGUCGGUAUUGCCAGCGCUGCGAUCGUCAAGCGCGACGCUGAGAAACCUGACGAGAACGGCAUUAAGAAGAUCACCGACGACCUGCAGAAGUUCGGGGACACCGUGGCCAAGGGGUUCAAGGAGAACUUCGACAUGGAGAAGAUACAGAAGCAGGUCAACGACGGCAUCAAGGAACUGCAGAAGAACUUGGAAAAUUUGAUUCCGAAGCAAGAGACGAAGGCUUGAAAAUCACGAAAAUGAAGAAACAUAAACAACAUCGGUAGUAAGAAAUUGGAAAAAAAUAUGCAAAAGAUAACCCCUUGAUAAUAAGUGGGCUUGUGAUAAAAAUAUGUAAACAUUGGAAUGUUACGUUCAUUACAAUGAUAAAAAAUAUGAUUGAAUCAUAAAGACUGCUCGAUAUUGACCAGAGUAUUCAUCCAACUCUAAUAUAAUUAAUUUAAAAAAUA